AUUGAACGCUGGCGGCAGGCCUAACACAUGCAAGUCGAGCGGAUGGAGGGAGCUUGCUCCUGGAUUCAGCGGCGGACGGGUGAGUAAUGCCUAGGAAUCUGCCUGGUAGUGGGGGAUAACGUCCGGAAACGGGCGCUAAUACCGCAUACGUCCUGAGGGAGAAAGUGGGGGAUCUUCGGACCUCACGCUAUCAGAUGAGCCUAGGUCGGAUUAGCUAGUUGGUGGGGUAAAGGCCUACCAAGGCGACGAUCCGUAACUGGUCUGAGAGGAUGAUCAGUCACAGGGGGUGGGAGGACAGGUCCAGACUGCGACGGGGGCCAGGCGUGGGAAAUUUUGAACAGGGGGGGAAAGUGUUACACGGGCACGAGCCGUGUGUGAAGAAGGCUCUCGGUGUGUAAAGCCCUUUGGGUUGGGAGGAGGGGUAGUAAGUUAAUACCUUUCUUUUUUCGCGUCCCAAACAAAAAAAGCCCCGGCUCACCUUG
rnacentral:rRNA from 1 species